UUUCCGUAGGUGAACCUGCGGAAGGAUCAUUCAUAAUAAAGUGUUUUAUGGCACUUUUUAAAAAUCCAUAUCCACCUUGUGUGCAAUGUUAGAUCUCGUCAAUCUUGGCGAGAUUUUUAUACAUCAACUCAUUCUUUAACUAAUUUGUCUGAAGAAUACUAUGAAUACUUAAUUCAAAAUACAACUUUCAACAACGGAUCUCUUGGCUCUC
rnacentral:misc_RNA from 1 species